CGAAAAGGUGCUCGGUUCAUACACACACCGAAAAAGUGCUCGGUAACACACGCCCGUAGACGAUUUAUCGACACUUCCAGUCUACAGCUCAACCGGUCGACUAAAGUUGGCUGUGACCUCCAUACAAUCCGGCAUACAGCAGUCCGACUCUGUAUCCGUCUCCAAACAAAAACAAUCCUAGCUAAGAAUUUACAUUAAGUGAAACAAUCAAUGUUGAAUCCUCUAACCCCCUAGUUCCGGUUUAUGCAAAGAACCUAAAACUAAACAAGCAAUGAUAGACUCGAUUUCACACAGACGGAACACAUUAGAAAUAAAUUAUACUUAUUCGAGGUCCUAAGCCGAAUAAGAGGAGUUCGGGAAUAGACCCUCACCUUAGCAAUAGAAAAGUGUUGUCUAUGAACUCCAGCUGCUCAAAUAGACUCCAUAUCUGAAAUCAGAUCGAAAUUCUGAGUCAGAACGCCUUUCGAACGGUCGAAAACGGAACUGGUCAAGGUUUUCGAAAAAAGUCAACCCGCUGGUCAAAGUCAACCCGGUCAAAGUCAACCCGGAAAUCGAUUUGACUAAACCGACCGGUUUACCCUAACCGAACCAAAAUCAAUUUAAACCGGCUAACCAACCGGUUAACCGAGUCAACCGAGUUGACUCACUGAGUUGACUCGGCCGAGUUGACCGAGUCGCCGGUGAGUCACCGGUGUCGGUCACCGGCGGCGACGGCGGAGCUGCGGCGGCGGCUUACCGGAAAGUUGGCCGGCGGCGACGGCGGAGCUGCGGCGGCGGACGGUGGUCCGGCGGCGGAGCUGCGGUGGCGACGAUUUCCGGCGGCGGCGCGUGCGUUUCACGCGCGCGCGAAGGGCGGUUUUCUGGAGGCGCGUACGGCUGCGUCCGGGCUCCGUUUGAGGCGUGCUUGGUGUCUACGGCUUCGUCUCGACGAGAGGAACACGAUGAUGGGCUUGGAUGCACGAGAUUCGCAACGGUUAAGAAGUUAUGGUCGAUUUACCAAAACGGCCGAAACUAAACUCAAAAAUAUGGCGGUUUCCGGUUACCUUUGGUUGCGGAUGAUGGUGGUGACGAGCUUUACGACGUCCUGGCGUGUGGUGGCUCCGGCGACGAGCUCAGGUGAGCUUUCUCCCUUCUUCUUCUUCUUCUCUCUCUCUUUCUCUCUCUCUCUCUCUCUCUCUCUCUCUCUCUCUCUUUUUCUUAAUUUUAAAGAAGAUGGAGGUGGUGGGGAAGAAGGUGGAGAUGGUGGAGAAGAAGUUGGAAGUGGUGGGGUUGGAGAAAGAAGUGGAGAUGGUGGGAGUGGUGGGUCAUUACAAUUCUCCUCCACUUAUAAGGAAUUCGUCCCCGAAUUCAUGUCAUAAGCUAACGUGCCCAAUGUCAUCAUAGCAAAACCUCGAAUACUAAUCUUCGCUCGACCUUUCAGGUCUCCUCCUGGGUCUUAUCUCCCUCCCAAUGAACUCGGACAAACACAGUCGACAUUCCCCGAACUGUUUUCUCUUGAUGAUCCAAAAUCUCCAAUAGAUGAUAAGGUUCAUAAAAUCUUUAUGAACUCACUUGAUGUCUACUGCAAAAUAGUUAUAGCGCCUUCUCAACUUUUGCAAUGCUGUCAUAUGAACCAAGUACUAGAAGGCUGAUAUACUGCUGAUAAAGUAACUGCAAGCAAAUAAUCCAAUCCACUCCAGUGCAGGAUACAAUUCCAUGUGUCUCGGUUUAAGCUCCUUUAUCUUCUGAGUCUUAGGCCCCUCUUGAAAUGUCCUUAUUUUCAGGUAUAUUAAGUCGCCCAUAUGUAGCUCCAAAUAUUUAUGGCGCUUAGCUGCAUAAAUCUUCUGACGUCAUGGGAUUCCGAAAGCCCAUCAUUGAGCAUUUCCAUUUGCUCAGCCGUCUUUUGAACCAUUAAUACUUUUAACUCAUGUCGCUCCCCCACUUUGGUCCAACAAAGUGGUAUACUAUAAGGUCUACCAUAAAUAACCCUUGUAUAGUAAUUUUUUUUUUUUUUUUUUUUUUUUUUUUUUUUUUUUUUUUUUUUUUUUUUUUUUUUUUUUUUUUUUUUUUUUUUUUUUUUUUUUUUUUUUUUUUUUUUUUUUUUUUUUUUUUUUUUUUUUUUUUUUUUUUUUUUUUUUUUUUUUUUUUUUUUUUUUUUUUUUUUUUUUUUUUUUUUUUUUUUUUUUUUUUUUUUUUUUUUUUUUUUUUUUUUUUUUUUUUUUUUUUUUUUUUUUUUUUUUUUACUCGAAAGAUAAUUGUCGAUGUAGGCAAACUCUGGUAAAGGUAGAUGCUUUCCGAAAUUCCAUCCCACGCAAUCUCUGAACAUAUCAUUUAAGUCCUCAAUAGUCCUCUCUAACUGACAAUAUGUCAACGGGUGAUAAGAUGUACUCAUAUGAUCUUUGUACCAAGUGCCUUCCGAAAGGCUUUCUGAAAUGUAGAUGUGAACUUCGAUUCCCAAUCCGAUACAAUGUUGACAUCCAUGAAACUUCCUGAACUCAAUAAUGUAGGUCUGCUCCAAUUGAUUAGCCCUGAUUAUCUUCUUAAUUACUUAGGUAAUGGGCUGACUUGGUAAGUCUAUCCAUGACUACCCAUGUGGCAUCCUUUCCACAUAUGGUGAUUUAAAAUCCAAUAACAAUGUCCAUAAUCACCAUGCCUCAUUUCUACUCCAGCAAAAGCAAGCUCAAAAAUAACAUGAUAGAUGACUGAUCCUCUGUUAUUGCCAUAUAACAUGUCUGGCACCGCGACGUAAUGUAGUUACAAACAUCUUCAUACUACACCAAUUAUAGUUAACUCUUCAUAUCUUUGUACCCUUUGGUCUUCCCGAUGGGUAGAGAAACACGAGUGAUAUGUUUGUUGUAAGAUUCCUUUUCUUAACAACUUAUCGUCCAACACACAAACUCGGUUUCAGUACAAGUAUAUCCUGCUCAAAGCUGUAUGAUAUCCAAUACUCCCAAUCUCGAUCUGUUCAACCAAUCCAGAAUGCUAACUUGUGCUUGUGUAUCCUCCAUAGCAAAACUGCCUGCUCCAAAGUCCCAAGGACAUCUGUCUCUCCAUUGAUAGUAAUGACACCCAACCUGAGACUAGCAAAUCUCCAACUCAUGAACCUUCUUGGUUCCUGAGAUACAGCUCAUACGCCUACCCAAGGCAUUUAUCACCUGGUUGUCCUUACCAGAUAGUAUGCGAUAUCCAGACUAUAGCCUGCUACAAACUCAAUCCAACUGCACUGUCCAAGUACAAGUUUUUAAUAAAUGAAGAUAAAUUUCACAUUCUAAUAAUCCCAGAGAAUCUGAAUUUCCUUCCCGUACAAUUACGAUUUCCAAAACGAUAACGCAAAUACCACUACAGCCUCUCUGGCGUGAUGCAUAUGAAUGACUUAAUCCUCAUACCUUAAUUUAAAUCCAAUCCAGUAUCUGACACAUCACAGUAAGCCUCAGCCUCAGUAGAACCCAAAACUGGUGUCUUCAUUAGUUGUGCUUCAAUUCAGUGAAACUCCUUGAACAAAAAUCUAUCCAGCCACACUUUACGUCUUUACAUGCAGACCACGUCUUUAACAUUACUAUACCGGUGAAACCCUUGAUGAACUUCCAGUAGAACACUAUUAACCCAAAAAGAACGGCAGAUCUUUGUAGCGCUCUUAGGUUUCGACCUCCCCGAAACGGUAUUAAUCUUCUUUUGAUCCAUCAAAAUUCUGCUUCCAAAACCAUGUCAGCCAAAAAUACAACAUUCCUCUGCCAGAAGCUACACUUCCUCAACUUAGCGAACAACUGAUGCUCUCCAGGCUUAUCCAACGCAAUCCGCGAAAUGCUCACAAAUCUCCUUUCUUCUCCAAAAUAAAUCAGGAUGUCAUCGAUGAAUACAAUCGCACACCUAUCCAAAUGUUCAUGAAAACGUCAUUCAUAUCUUCAUGAAUGCAACAGUGCCUUUGUCGAGCCAAAUGGUAUCACUGCGUCCCAUAAUAUCCAUAAUGUAUACAAAAAUUCACAUUCAGUAGAUACUCUUCAAAUAUAGUAAUCUGAUGGUGUUCUGAUGCCAAGUCAACCUUCAAGAACUAUAAACUUCCUGUAAUAAUCCAAUAAUUCAUCAACGCGCGGAAGCGAUACUUAUCUUUAAUGGUCACUUUGUUCAGACCUUUGCAGUCGAUACAAAAUUGAAACUCCCACCUUUCUUCUUUACAACAACAAUGAUGAUGUUCCCCACGGUAAAGUACCCGGUCUGAUAAAACCCUUGUCUGAUGAAUCUUCAACAUGCUCUUUCAGCUUUGUCAUCUCUGUUGGUGCUAAUCGGUAUAAAACUUGUGAAACUGGUGUUGUUUGCUCCAAACAAAUCGCAAGAGUUUCUCAUGUGUCAUGUGAUGACCGUUCCAAAGGUCACAAAUAUGUCCUCAUACUCUGCAAUAACCGGAAGAUCCUGCAGCUCAUGUUGUCCAUCAGCCUUAACCAUCGAGAUGGUAGUCAAAAAUCUCUAUGUCCUUGUAUCCCAUAACUCCUCAGUAUGUAGCAUGCAUGCACUAACAACUUCCAUCUGCUCCAGCAAUCGGAACUCUUGCCAUCAGGCAAUCCAACACUACUUGAUGCCGUGACAAUCAAUCCGUCCCAAGGAUAACAUCGUAAAAACGUAGCUCCAUCUCUGAUGAAUAUCCGAACAAAUCGGCCCUCCAAGCAUAACUGGUACCCUGCGAUGGAUAUAAACAGCUCCCAAUGUCCUAUGUCAGUUGUCCAAACUGACACAUCUCUGAAACGAUCAACACUGCCAAAAUUGGUAAACAUACCAAAGUGUAACUCCAACACCCACACAACGCAAGCUGCUGCACCCCAAUUCAAAAGCGAUCUCCACGAGUUCACAAAACAAAUAUAUCUCCAAAAUAGUCAAUAUACUCGUACACACAACAACACAUGCCAACCAAUGGCUCAUAUCACACACCACAAAAUCUCCAGUAACAAAACUCGUGGAACGAUUGCUUGAAGUGGGCUGGUGGCAGAAACGUCAUAUAUCCACUCCUGGAUAGCCUCGAAAUCAUGUCCGAAGAAACUGAUAACUCCCGAGAAAACUGACGAACUUGGACUUCACGCAACUGCUGAACAUCUGUCGAGAACCUUAUUAGUCGAAGGACGAAUGACGAUGAUUUUACUCAUCGUCAUAGAAAGAGACAUUUGAGUUAGUAAUUACAGGACAGAAUGGUGCUAAAAGAAUUUCGAAAUGUAUAAAUAAAUAUAUAGUUUUUUUUUUUUUAAAGUUGAAAACCGAUGAAAACCGAAUCCCCUGACCGCCAUCCCGGACGGAACCGGGAUGGAACCCGCUCUGAUACCAAAUUGUGACACCCGUCACCUCCUAUAUGGAGGACAGCAUUAUCUGUGACACCCGUCACCUCCUAUAUGGAGGACAGCGUGUCACCCCCGACGCGUCAUCAUACAACAAUGUGAUACCCGUCUCCCUGACACUAAGGACGACGGGCCACCAACAAUAUCCUGUAAUAUAAAAGCCCAUAAACCCGACAACUCUCACCCAUGCCCAAAUAAAAUCCGAAAGAAAAGUCCAAUAGCACCAAGUCCGUCCAAAUAUCACAUACUUGUUUGUCUCACCUGAAAGGGGGAAGAGUGAGGGGUGAGCGACAGGGGAAUCGCUCAGUGAGGUAUGGGAUGCCACCCCGAAGUCCAUGGACCCGGACAUAGCACUCCGAAUAAAUAUAAUUUAAUUCUAAUGCAUGUCAAACACAGUACCUAAAGUACUCAAGCAACAAACAAUGGUCCUAGCGAGGUGCACACUCGCCGCCCACUAACAGGCCAAAACACUACCGAAAAGGUGCUCGGUUCAUACACACACCGAAAAAGUGCUCGGUAACACACGCCCGUAGACGAUUUAUCGACACUUCCAGUCUACGGCUCAACCGGUCGACUAAAGUUGGCCGUGACCUCCAUACAAUCCGGCAUACAGCAGUCCGACUCUGUAUCCGUCUCCAAACAAAAACAAUCCUAGCUAAGAAUUUACAUUAAGUGAAACAAUCAAUGUUGAAUCCUCUAACCCCCUAGUUCCGGUUUAUGCAAAGAACCUAAAACUAAACAAGCAAUGACAGACUCAAUUUCACACAGACGGAACACAUUAGAAAUAAAUUAUACUUAUUCGAGGUCCUAAGCCGAAUAAGAGGAGUUCGGGAAUAGACCCUCACCUUAGCAAUAGAAAAGUGUUGUCUAUGAACUCCAGCUGCUCAAAUAGACUCCAUAUCUGAAAUCAGAUCGAAAUUCUGAGUCAGAAGGCCUUUCGAACGGUCGAAAACGGAACUGGUCAAGGUUUUCGAAAAAGUCAACCCGCUGGUCAAAGUCAACCCGGUCAAAGUCAACCCGGAAAUCGAUUUGACUAAACCGACCGGUUUACCCUAACCGAACCAAAAUCAAUUUAAACCGGCUAACCAACCGGUUAACCGAGUCAACCGAG
rnacentral:lncRNA from 1 species